UACGGAGGAUGCAAGCGUUAUCCGGAAUUAUUGGGCGUAAAGCGUCCGCAGGUGGCUGUGUAAGUCUGCUGUUAAAGAGUCUAGCUCAACUAGAUAAGAGCAGUGGAAACUACACGGCUAGAGUACGUUCGGGGCAGAGGGAAUUCCUGGUGUAGCGGUGAAAUGCGUAGAGAUCAGGAAGAACACCGGUGGCGAAGGCGCUCUGCUAGGCCGUAACUGACACUGAGGGACGAAAGCUAGGGGAGCGAAUGGG
rnacentral:rRNA from 1 species